UGCCAGCCGCCGCGGUAACACGGAGGGUGCAAGCGUUGUCCGGAUUUAUUGGGUUUAAAGGGUGCGUAGGCGGGCAAUUAAGUCAGUGGUGAAAUACUCCGGCUCAACCGGAGAGGUGCCAUUGAAACUGGUUGUCUUGAGUACAGACGAGGUAGGCGGAAUUUAUGGUGUAGCGGUGAAAUGCAUAGAUACCAUAAAGAACACCAAUAGCGAAGGCAGCUUACUGGAUCAUUACUGACGCUGAGGAACGAAAGCAUGGGUAGCGAAGAGGAUUAGAUA
rnacentral:rRNA from 1 species